CGCUUAUUGAUAUGCUUUCGUUAAGGAUGUUGACGUAAAAUGUUGUCUGCUGGUUAGCAUCAAUUUUGAUUGUCAUAAAAAGGUUAAGGGGAUGUGGCUCCUUCGGGAGUGUUAUAACCCUUGGCGGAAUGUGGCGAUUGGGAUUGAGGUUUGCAACGAAUACCUUUAGGGCAGUUCCUUCUGGUCUCUUGUUGACGUUCAGAUGAUAACAGCUUGCUUUUGUUGUUUGAAUAGUUUGCGAAUAGAUUGGAAUGUGAAUUAAUUCGUUAAGGAUGUUGACGUAA
rnacentral:rRNA from 1 species